GACAGAGGGUGCAAACGUUGUUCGGAAUUACUGGGCGUAAAGCGCGUGUAGGCAGCUUGGCAAGUCGGGUGUGAAAGCCCUGGGCUCAACCCAGGAAGUGCACUCGAAACUUCCAAGCUUGAGUUCUGGAGAGGAAGGCGGAAUUCUCGGUGUAGAGGUGAAAUUCGUAGAUAUCGAGAGGAACACCGGUGGCGAAGGCGGCCUUCUGGACAGUAACUGACGCUGAGACGCGAAAGCGUGGGGAGCAAACAGG
rnacentral:rRNA from 1 species